GACGAACGCUGGCGGCGUGCUUAACACAUGCAAGUCGAACGGAAAGGCCCUGCUUUUGUGUGGUGCUCGAGUGGCGAACGGGUGAGUAACACGUGAGUAACCUGCCCUUGACUUUGGGAUAACUUCAGGAAACUGGGGCUAAUACCGGAUAGGAGCUCCUGCUGCAUGGUGGGGGUUGGAAAGUUUCGGCGGUUGGGGAUGGACUCGCGGCUUAUCAGCUUGUUGGUGUGGUAGUGGCUUACCAGGGCUUUGACGGGUAGCCGGCCUGAGAGGGUGACCGGCCACAGUGGGACUGAGAUACGGCCCAGACUCCUACGGGAGGCAGCAGUGGGGAAUAUUGCACAAUGGGCGGAAGCCUGAUGCAGCAACGCCGCGUGCGGGAUGACGGCCUUCGGGUUGUAAACCGCUUUCGCCUGUGACGAAGCGUGAGUGACGGUAAUGGGUAAAGAAGCACCGGCUAACUACGUG
rnacentral:rRNA from 1 species